UACGUAGGGUGCAAGCGUUAAUCGGAAUUACUGGGCGUAAAGCGUGCGCAGGCGGUUGUGCAAGACAGAUGUGAAUUCCCCGGGCUCAACCCAGGAAUUGCGCUCGAAACUCCGAGGCUUGAGUGUGGGAGAGGUUGGUGGAAUUCCCAGUGUAGAGGUGAAAUGCGUAGAGAUUGGGAAGAACACCCGUGGCGAAAGCGCUCUGCUGGACUGCAACUGACAUUGAGGGACGAAAGCUAGGGGAGCGAAUGGG
rnacentral:rRNA from 1 species